GACGAACGCUGGCGGCGUGCUUAACACAUGCAAGUCGAACGGAAAGGCCCUGCUUUUGUGGGGUGCUCGAGUGGCGAACGGGUGAGUAACACGUGAGUAACCUGCCCUUGUCUUUGGGAUAACUUCAGGAAACUGGGGCUAAUACCGGAUAGGAGCUCCUGCUGCAUGGUGGGGGUUGGAAAGUUUCGGCGGUGGGGGAUGGACUCGCGGCUUAUCAGCUUGUUGGUGGGGUAGUGGCUUACCAAGGCUUUGACGGGUAGCCGGCCUGAGAGGGUGACCGGCCACAUGGGGACUGAGGUACGGACCAGACUCCUACGGGAGGCAGCAGUGGGGAAUAUUGCGCAAUGGGCGGAAGCCUGAUGCAGCAACGCCGCGUGCGUGAUGACGGCCUUCGGGUUGUAAACCGCUGUCGCCUGUGACGAAGCGUGAGUGACGGUAAUGGGUAAAGAAGCACCGGCUAACUACGUG
rnacentral:rRNA from 1 species